CGGGUGAGUAACACGUAUGCAACCUGCCUGCCACAAGCCGGAUAAAUCGGGAGAAAUUCCGUCUAAUACGGCAUAAUGCAUCGACGGGACAUCCUGUUGGUGCCAAAGGUUGAUUCCGGUGGCGGAUGGGCAUGCGUCGCAUUAGUUAGUGGGCGGUGUAACGGACCACCAAGACGACGAUGCGUAGGGGUUCUGAGAGGAAGGUCCCCCACACUGGUACUGAGACACGGACCAGACUCCUACGGGAGGCAGCAG
rnacentral:rRNA from 1 species